GACGAACGCUGGCGGCGUGCCUAAUACAUGCAAGUAGAACGCUGAAGGAGGAGCUUGCUUCUCUGGAUGAGUUGCGAACGGGUGAGUAACGCGUAGGUAACCUGCCUGGUAGCGGGGGAUAACUAUUGGAAACGAUAGCUAAUACCGCAUAAUAGUAGAUGUUGCAUGACAUUUGCUUAAAAGGUGCAAUUGCAUCACUACUAGAUGGACCUGCGUUGUAUUAGCUAGUUGGUGGGGUAACGGCUCACCAAGGCGACGAUACAUAGCCGACCUGAGAGGGUGAUCGGCCACACUGGGACUGAGACACGGCCCAGACUCCUACGGGAGGCAGCAGUAGGGAAUCUUCGGCAAUGGACGGAAGUCUGACCGAGCAACGCCGCGUGAGUGAAGAAGGUUUUCGGAUCGUAAAGCUCUGUUGUAAGAGAAGAACGAGUGUGAGAGUGGAAAGUUCACACUGUGACGGUAUCUUACCAGAAAGGGACGGCUAACUACGUG
rnacentral:rRNA from 1 species